UGCCUGUGAUGAGUUUCCAUGCUAAUAAUGAUACACCAGACUGGGUCUUCGGGUCUGUGUCUGGGUGUAGCUGAGUUUAAACUCGCUAUUCUCACACCGCUGUGGGAUCUGAGGCAA